rnacentral:rRNA from 1 species
GCCUGAUGCGCCAUGCCGCGUGUGUGAAGAAGGCCUUCGGGUUGUAAAGCACUUUCAGUCGUGAGGAAGGUGGUGUAGUUAAUAGCUGCAUUAUUUGACGUUAGCGACAGAAGAAGCACCGGCUAACUCCGUGCCAGCAGCCGCGGUAAUACGGAGGGUGCGAGCGUUAAUCGGAAUUACUGGGCGUAAAGCGCAUGCAGGUGGUUUGUUAAGUCAGAUGUGAAAGCCCGGGGCUCAACCUCGGAAUAGCAUUUGAAACUGGCAGACUAGAGUACUGUAGAGGGGGGUAGAAUUUCAGGUGUAGCGGUGAAAUGCGUAGAGAUCUGAAGGAAUACCGGUGGCGAAGGCGGCCCCCUGGACAGAUACUGACACUCAGAUGCGAAAGCGUGGGGAGCAAACAGGAUUAGAUACCCUGGUAGUCCACGCCGUAAACGAUGUCUACUUGGAGGUUGUGGCCUUGAGCCGUGGCUUUCGGAGCUAACGCGUUAAGUAGACCGCCUGGGGAGUACGGUCGCAAGAUUAAAACUCAAAUGAAUUGACGGGGGCCCGCACAAGCGGUGGAGCAUGUGGUUUAAUUCGAUGCAACGCGAAGAACCUUACCUACUCUUGACAUCCAGAGAACUUUCCAGAGAUGGAUUGGUGCCUUCGGGAACUCUGAGACAGGUGCUGCAUGGCUGUCGUCAGCUCGUGUUGUGAAAUGUUGGGUUAAGUCCCGCAACGAGCGCAACCCUUAUCCUUGUUUGCCAGCGAGUAAUGUCGGGAACUCCAGGGAGACUGCCGGUGAUAAACCGGAGGAAGGUGGGGACGACGUCAAGUCAUCAUGGCCCUUACGAGUAGGGCUACACACGUGCUACAAUGGCGCAUACAGAGGGCAGCCAACUUGCGAAAGUGAGCGAAUCCCAAAAAGUGCGUCGUAGUCCGGAUUGGAGUCUGCAACUCGACUCCAUGAAGUCGGAAUCGCUAGUAAUCGUGGAUCAGAAUGCCACGGUGAAUACGUUCCCGGGCCUUGUACACACCGCCCGUCACACCAUGGGGAGUGGGCUGCAAAAGAAGUAGGUAGUUUAACCUUCGGGGGGACGCUUACCACUUUGUGGUUCAUGACUGGGGUGAGCGUU